CUGGAAAAGGCCUUGGGAAAAGGAUGUGGCAAACACAGCCAAGGCGGAGCUGCUCUUACAUGACGUUGGUAACGCUAAAGGCAUAGUCGGUCAGACCUUGGAGACUUCUCCUACACCUCUUACCUGUCCCCUGUGCCAUGUCACAGGCCAAGCUGUGGCAUUGCCAAGGCCCUUCCAUCAGCCAGAAGGAUUCAUUGAGUGCUCUGCUUGGAGGAGAGACCCUUUGAUCCUGAGCUUGAAGGCAAUUUUUUCAGUGUUAACACACCAGAAAGGCAAUGCCCUCCCCACAGCCACACUUGAGCUGGAACUCCAGCUCUGCAAGAGCCCAGCAAGCUCCUCUGACCAGCCAGCUCUGCUGGCCUGCACACCAACCACAGAAGGUAUAAACCAGCCCUCAGAGCAGAGAGGGGAUAAACAGGCAGAACGUGGAGGGCUGGGAAUGUACAGGCAUGGAGGGCUGGGAAUGUACGGGAUAGGGCUGGAGCAGAUCCCCUGGCUGUGUGUCCUUUGUCUGGGCUGUGCCAGUACCGGGCAGCACAGGUUCAAUUCUGCUGGAGGGAAGUGAAGGGAAUUCUGUGAGGGAGAAGCCUCGGAUCCCACCCCUGUGGAAGGAGUGGAGUGUGGGUACAAUAAGCUGGACCCGGGGUGACAUGUCAGUCAAGGCCAAGCGCUCCAUCCAUCUCGCUGUGCCAGUCACUGCCGGCAAGUUUUCUCGCUGUGAGUGUUCCACCCGGCUCCCUCCAUCACCCGGAUAAUGGCAUUUCUGUGCCGCCUGUUUAAACUAACAGCAGCACAAUUCGCAGCCAGCGGCUUCAGCGCUUUGUGUUCAUUUGCUCAAUCAACAUUGGCCCCCUGAAAAGGUAAUGUGGACCCAGCUUUUAUCCUAACCUAAACAGAGGCUGGAAGGGAGGAGAGGGAAAGAAGAUGACCUGAUUUUUUGUAGUUCCUCUCCCAACAGUUCUUCAAUCUGCACUUGAAGAGCUGGCAUCCCUGCAUGAAACAUUUUUGGACACGUAUUUUCAAAACCAGUCAAUUUUUCAGUGCUUAAGUUAUAGUGGAUUGAAGGGAUUGACUUUUCCUCUGCUCAUGCAACCACCUGUUUUCAGGCACCACUGAGCAGGGUGACUCUUCCACUGGUUCACUGUAACUGUGGGGAGUGUUGUUAGAAUUGACAUUUUUCAAAAGAGGCUUUUAAACCUCGGUCAUUCGCCGCUUGGGAGCAUAAUUUUGAAAGCGUGUGGCUUCGGCUCUCUGAGGUGCCCAGAGCUCCCACUUGUGUCAGGUCUGUGGGAAUUCCAUGGGCAUUAGGUCACGAGUGCUCCGAAGGAUCCAAGAGACCUGCAGACAGAAGGUCCUGUCCGAGCAGAUUUGAGCAGAUAAAUUGCAUUUCAGAGCACAAUCAUCUGCUGCUGCCACCUCCCCUGUCCUGGGUUCUUGCACAGGACAGCAGCAGCAGAGCAUGAGCUCUCCCAGCCCAGAACAUCCCCGCUGGCUCCAGCUGCUGACAAAAGGAGGCUGCCCCGAUGCAACAAGCUGUGAACUGCUUUGACUGAGAUACAGCCCGGGCUCUGCCCCUGGGUGAGGUGGGUGGGGCACACACCCUGGCUGCCAUCUCCGCUGCUUGCCAAGAAUUUAAAUGGGAGGCGAAGUUAGGGCAACACAUCCCUUCAAGGCUAAGGACGGGAGAGAGAACCUUAACUUCUCCUACAGCUGCUCUUUGCUCUUUUAAGCUGCAGGAAAAGAAGUGACAGGGUCCAAACUCUAGAAAGCCAGCUAGGACACCCACUGUCUUUCACCCCCCUCUCAUGCUCUGCCAGAAUCCCAGCGGGGCUCCGCUGCCUGCUCAGCACAGCCUUUCUCCUCGGGAAUAUGUUGGGACACCAAGCAUAUAGUGCCCUACAAGGGAAGAAAGCCUUUCAGAAAUCAGAUAGAAUGAAGAAGCUGCAUUAUUUUCUCAGGAGAUUUAUAUUUCUUGUGGGAUGUUGCUUAACAAAUCUUUCUGUCUCUCUUCUUUGGUUCUAAAACAAUGUUUCUGACAGAAAAGAAAAGCAGAGAACUACAACUGGUUUGUGAUUUGUUCUUUUAUGCAUGCAGAUGUUUCACAAACAUCUGUAACAUGACAAUCUGCCCUGGGAACAUAGUGGGUGAGGGAACAACACAACCAAGGACUUCUGGAUCCUGUUCCCGGUCUCAUCUGUUGUCAGCUGUGCCAUGUUACUCGAGUCACCUCAGGAUUGCUUCGUGCCUCUCUCUAUGACUGUCUUGCAAAUGAGAUGCUUUGUAUUUUAGCAUCGACCUAAUCUUUCAAGCAGCCCGAGAGGUGAUAUUGAAUGGGAGUUGAUGGACUCAGAUGUACUCAAAGCAAAAACAAACAAACAAACAAACAAGAACUAAGCCAUUCUCUAAUAUUAACCAUAUGCCCCAUACAGGAAUGACAGAGGUUUUGCACUUACUCCUGAAGGUCUGUGCUGGGCUAAAGGUUACCAUAUGCCAUAGGAAUGCUCUGCAAACACCAACGAGUGGCCAUCAAAGCUGAAAAUUUGAAGUUACUCUACAGUCAGAGGUGGUUAAUUGCAGCUUCUACAGCCUGCUUGCCUAGGUAUACAGAGCAUUCAGCUGCUUGGUUACCAGGGAUGUCAGCUUUUCUGCUCACACAUGACUGACUAAUUUUCUACAUACCAUUCAAAAGAAAAUACAAAUAAAAGUGGCUUUCAAACAGAACACAAUUUCUUCUUCAGAGUGGCCUCUACAAACCUUUAUGAGUUCUACAGUGACUGGUCAGGAAGGGAAGAUAAAGAGCCAUAGCCAAGUGGCUUAGGAAGGAAAGGGAAUGGAGUUCUAAGCAGGAAAAUCAAACUCUGAUUGCCAACAACUUUUUUUUUGCUUGUGCUGGAAGGUCUCCACAUAUUUUGCAAGCAGUUAACUCCUUUCACACAUCUCAUGCAUCAAGCAAAUUCUCUCUGCCUCUGAUGUGGAUAAAGGACAUGUGAUAAAGGACAUUUUGUCCUAGAUAAAGAGCAAGAAUAGAGACGGACAUCAAGGAACAUGGAUCCACAGGGGCUACAUUUACAGUGACAAAUGGUGACUGCCAUUCUUCAAGGACUGUGAAAUCAGUGACUAGCAAAGUGGGGUAGGCAAGCACAUCAGAAGCAUGAAUUUGGUUUAUAGCAUCAUAGUGUGGGAUCCAGCUAUGAUCAAUAGAAAGAAAAUAGCUGUAUUGGACUGCCAAUAUCACCUGGAAUAGAGCUGUGCUCAAACUGAGUGAUGGGUGUCCAUCCCACAGGUAUGGCUCAAUCUGCAGAGGAAGAUGUUCCUCUGGAAUGUGUCUCCUCAUUCCUCACCGAAACUAGGUGAAAGAGCAUGCUGAAAUGAGGAAUGACAAGAUGUAUAUGAUAAGAAUGAUAAGAAUGAUAAGAUGCAAUAAGAAAGUGUCCCUGAGGUAGAUACUGGUCUUCCUCUGUCAUUGCAAGGUGCAAACUCACAAACACAAAUAGAAUAUGUGUAGCUGCAAAAAGCACCAGAAAUCAGUCUGAGAUGGAGGUGAAGGCAGAGUGGGAAUUAGGACUUCCAACAGCAUAAUUCAGCCAUUCUCCUACAGUCUUCAUUCAAAAGUAAGUGGUGACUCAGGUUCUUAAUUUCAUCAGAGCCCAUUGAAGCACCUCUGCCACCCCCACGUAUUCAGCUGAAUAAUCUGUUGCAAAAUGCUUUCCCUGGUCUCUUAGUAAAGAUCUACUCCAGUCCACUGGCUUCUUUGGAAACAUCUGCCCACACACACGAUUCCUUCUUUGAAAACAAAAAUUUCCUAAAAAGCCAAGAAAACUUAAAGUGACAAAGCCAUUCUCACCUGGUAAGAAGACAUGAGAGACAUCACUAGUAAAGUGACUUGAGCAUGAAAGUCUGUCAGAAUUAAUUUUAUUCAUCCAGAGAGACUAGGAAAGACAGGGUGCAGCAUUCUGAUGCUGAGCUUUGCUCUGAAGGUAUGACCAGCAAAUGAGCAAAGGGGAAAACAGAACAAACCUUAUAUACUGAAGAGUGAAAGUGUUUCCUGACCUGCUCCAUUGCAAAUGGAGAAAAUCCAUGCAGCUGGAUUCCUACUUCCCACUUUUAGGAAAAGCACUCCAAACAGAGAAAAUGGCAAGCUCAGCUCUGACUAGGAAGCAGGUCUGGUUAACAUUAUGAAAGGAACUAAAUUUCCCUUCCCCCAGCCUCUUCAAGAGCCAGAGAUUUGUGUGCAAAAUAAGUUGAGUUUUUCCCCAUGGUCAAAGACUGGUGUUUAAUUUAUUUGUGGUCACUAAUUCUGGACUUCUGUCAUAUUUUACUGUGGUACUCCAUUAUUUAAUAAAGUCCCAAGGAAACUGGCCAGUG